GCAUUAAAAAAUAACUUAUCAUAUUAGAAGGAUUUCUAUAAAGAACAUCUAUAACUAGAUGAUUAUGCACAUCUAUUUAUUCAAAUAAUAGUCUUUUGUAACUGCUCAUAUAGAAGGAUUUCUAUAAGGCACAUCUACAAAUAAAUGAUUAUGCAAUAACGCUAAGUGAAGCAGGAUUUAUGACACCAAUUCCCACGACACCAAAACUUAUAAAAAUGACUUAGCAGAAAGAUAUAUGCAAGUUCAAAAAUGGUAAAAAUUAAGGAGC
rnacentral:misc_RNA from 1 species